UGGGGAAUAUUGCGCAAUGGGCGAAAGCCUGACGCAGCAACGCCGCGUGGGUGAUGAAGGUCUUCGGAUUGUAAAACCCUGUCGUUAGGGACGAAGGUUAUCAGUUUAAUAGACUGAUGAUUUGACGGUACCUAGAAAGGAAGCCCCGGCUAACUCUGUGCCAGCAGCCGCGGUAAUACAGAGGGGGCAAGCGUUAUUCGGAAUUAUUGGGCGUAAAGAGCGCGUAGGCGGUAUUUUAAGUGAGAUGUGCAAUCCCCGAGCUUAACUUGGGAACUGCAUCUCAUACUGGAAUGCUAGAGUACUGGAGAGGGUGGUAGAAUUCCACGUGUAGCGGUGAAAUGCGUAGAGAUGUGGAGGAAUACCAGUGGCGAAGGCGGCCACCUGGACGGUAACUGACGCUGAGGUGCGAAAGUGUGGGUAGCAAACAGG
rnacentral:rRNA from 1 species